GGUAUUGGGGUUAGGUGGCCAUCUUGGGCAUGUGAGCAUAGAGGAGUUCUUCCUCCUCUUCGGUGAGAUACCUAGAUCAGAUUUAGAAUUUUUGGGUGAGGAAAAAUAAAAGAGAGAAGAGAGUCUUCUUCCUUCUUUCCAUCACCAUAUCCUCUUUGUCUAUCUUCCAGUUACGGAAGGGUCUGUGAGAUUCGAAGAAGGAUGUAAAUCAGCCAUCCAAAAGAUCUUCAUGCGAACUAGCAUUCUCGAGG
rnacentral:lncRNA from 1 species